rnacentral:rRNA from 1 species
UACGAAGGGUGCAAGCGUUACUCGGAAUUACUGGGCGUGAAGCGUGCGUAGGUGGUUCGUUAAGUCUGUCGUGAAAGCCCCGGGCUCAACCUGGGAACGGCGAUGGAUACUGGCGGGCUAGAGUGCGGUAGAGGAGAGUGGAAUUCCCGGAGUAGCAGUGAAAUGCGUAGAGAUUGGGAGGAACAUCAGUUGCGAAGGCGGCUCUCUGGACCAGCACUGACACUGAGGCACGAAAGCGUGGGGAGCAAACAGG